rnacentral:hammerhead_ribozyme from 1 species
AUGCAGCUGACGAGUCCCAAAAAGAACGAAAUGCGCAUCCUGGAU